rnacentral:rRNA from 1 species
UGGGGAAUUUUGGACAAUGGGCGAAAGCCUGAUCCAGCCAUUCCGCGUGAGUGAAGAAGGCCUUCGGGUUGUAAAGCUCUUUCGGCAGGAAAGAAACGGUCUGUGUUAAUACCAUGGGCUAAUGACGGUACCUGCAGAAGAAGCACCGGCUAACUACGUGCCAGCAGCCGCGGUAAUACGUAGGGUGCGAGCGUUAAUCGGAAUUACUGGGCGUAAAGCGUGCGCAGGCGGUUGUUUAAGACAGAUGUGAAAGCCCCGGGCUCAACCUGGGAAUUGCGUUUGUGACUGGACGACUAGAGUGCAACAGAGGGGGGUGGAAUUCCACGUGUAGCAGUGAAAUGCGUAGAGAUGUGGAGGAACACCGAUGGCGAAGGCAGCCCCCUGGGUUGACACUGACGCU